GACGAACGCUGGCGGCGUGCUUAACACAUGCCAGUCGAACGGAAAGGCCCUGCUUUUGUGGGGUGCUCGAGUGGCGAACCGGUGAGUAACACGUGAGUAACCUGCCCUUGACUUUGGGAUAACUUCAGGAAACUGGGGCUAAUACCGGAUAGGAGCUCCUGCUGCAUGGUGGGGGUUGGAAAGUUUCGGCGGUUGGGGAUGGACUCGCGGCUUAUCAGCUUGUUGGUGGGGUAGUGGCUUACCAAGGCUUUGACGGGUAGCCGGCCUGAGAGGGUGACCGGCCACAUUGGGACUGAGAUACGGCCCAGACUCCUACGGGAGGCAGCAGUGGGGAAUAUUGCACAAUGGGCGGAAGCCUGAUGCAGCAACGCCGCGUGCGGGAUGACGGCCUUCGGGUUGUAAACCGCUUUCGCCUGUGACGAAGCGUGAGUGAUGGUAAUGGGUAAAGAAGCACCGGCUAACUACGUG
rnacentral:rRNA from 1 species